GGACAAGUAAUUUAAGUUAAAAUAUAACACUGAAAAUGUUAAAAUGACAUUGGCCCUUUUCCA
rnacentral:tRNA from 1 species